rnacentral:rRNA from 1 species
UACGGAGGGUGCAAGCAUUAAUCGGAUUUAUUGGGCGUAAAGGGCGCGUAGGCGGGAGGAUAAGUCAGAUGUGAAAUCCUGGGGCUCAACCUCAGAACUGCAUUUGAAACUAUCUUUCUAGAGGGUAGGCGGAGAAAACGGAAUUCCACAAGUAGCGGUGAAAUGCGUAGAUAUGUGGAAGAACACCGGUGGCGAAGGCGGUUUUCUAGCUUAUUCCUGACGCUAAUGCGCGAAAGCAAGGGGAUCAAACAGG